rnacentral:rRNA from 1 species
GACGAACGCUGGCGGCGUGCCUAAUACAUGCAAGUCGAACGCACUCUCGUUUAGAUUGAAGGAGCUUGCUCCUGAUUGAUAAACAUUUGAGUGAGUGGCGGACGGGUGAGUAACACGUGGGUAACCUGCCCUAAAGUGGGGGAUAACAUUUGGAAACAGAUGCUAAUACCGCAUAAAACCUAACACCGCAUGGUGUAGGGUUGAAAGAUGGUUUCGGCUAUCACUUUAGGAUGGACCCGCGGUGCAUUAGUUAGUUGGUGAGGUAAAGGCUCACCAAGACCGUGAUGCAUAGCCGACCUGAGAGGGUAAUCGGCCACACUGGGACUGAGACACGGCCCAGACUCCUACGGGAGGCAGCAGUAGGGAAUCUUCCACAAUGGACGAAAGUCUGAUGGAGCAACGCCGCGUGAGUGAAGAAGUUUUCGGAUCGUAAAACUCUGUUGUUGGAGAAGAAUGUAUCUGAUAGUAACUGAUCAGGUAGUGACGGUAUCCAACCAG